ACAGACUGAGGGAGGGACCAGCAGGGAGUGGGCCUGAGUGCAGGGACAGAGGCCCAGGCAGGGCAGGGCUGGGCAGAGCUGUUGUGCAGGCAGAGAGAAGGUGGAGAGAGGCCAGACGGAGCGGGCCUGGCCAUGUGGAGUGCCCUGUGCGUGGGCUUCUUGCCCAUUGUAGCUGUCACUGGCCAGAUGGCCUUGGAGCAGCACCCCAGGGAACUGACUGUGCAAGAGGGAGAUGCAGUCACAUUCCAGUGCUCCAUGAAGAGAGGUGAUAUGAACAGCUACUACAUGUACUGGUACCAUCAGGGCCCAAAAGGCUCUCUCAGAUUUAUUUGCCAUGAGGAUGAUUUCUAUGGAGAGGAUUUCCAAGAUCGCUUUAAGGUAUCACUUCACAGUUCCAAGGACACAUCGACACUGCAGAUCCUGGCAGCAAAGCAAGGGGAUGAAGCAAUGUAUUACUGUGGAGCAGAAUCACCCUGGAGUAGCUCUGUAGCAGAAUAGAUCAAAAACUGACAGAUGGGGAAAAUGGAUCUCUCAGCAUUUCCUUCUUGCAGCUGCUCCCCAGGGCUCUUGUCAGGAAACAGCAGGUGCAGGAAAUAACCCUCUUGGGCUUGGUGGCACUAAAAGUGGCAUUGGAAGGGAGAAAAGCCUUCCAGUAGAGACUAAAAAGCCACUGGAGGGAGGGGUGGCAGAAGGGCUGGUACCAUUUAUGGUACAGGAGGAUCUGUUCUGGGAACUGCAGAGGCUGUUUAUUUGGGGAGGUGCACGUUUCAUGCACGUUGCCUGGGCUCCAGCACAGCCUCAUUUUUCCUCUGUGCCUUGGCUGCGGAGCCAUGGGAUGAUGGAGAUGUGUUCCUGGAGCCUCCAGAGUGCUGUGCUGGAUGCAGCCAGGCUGUUUAGGAAGGUCAGAUCAGCAGGGAUGACACUGUGUGGCUGCAACACAGGACCUGAUCAGGAAGAAGGAGUUGAGAAGGGGUGAUGAAUUUGUUUGUCCUCCAGGUGCUCAGCAAGUUGCUGUCUGAGUUGUCCUCUGCAAUUAGGCAUGGGAUAAAUAUGCAAUUAAGCCUUGUGAAUUAAGGUGACGACAGGGAGCUGUCGCAGCACUGUCACCGUGAGAAAACACAAGGAUUUGGGGAAAGGAAUUUAAUUCUUGGUGAAUCAAGUUAGAGUUGGAUAAUGAGAAAAAAAACGCAAAUCUAAAAACAUCUCAUCUACCCAGUCAUUGCAUGUCCUGAUGGGACACUUGCAGUUGGGUUCUUUUUCCCCCUUGGGCAGAAGAUUGAUGAGAGAGAGGCAGUUUUCUCUUGUUCAG